AUUGAACGCUGGCGGCAGGCCUAACACAUGCAAGUCGAGCGGAUGAAGGGAGCUUGCUCCUGGAUUCAGCGGCGGACGGGUGAGUAAUGCCUAGGAAUCUGCCUGGUAGUGGGGGAUAACGUCCGGAAACGGGCGCUAAUACCGCAUACGUCCUGAGGGAGAAAGUGGGGGAUCUUCGGACCUCACGCUAUCAGAUGAGCCUAGGUCGGAUUAGCUAGUUGGUGGGGUAAAGGCCUACCAAGGCGACGAUCCGUAACUGGUCUGAGAGGAUGAUCAGUCACACUGGAACUGAGACACGGUCCAGACUCCUACGGGAGGCAGCAGUGGGGAACAUUGGACAAUGGGCGAAAGCCUGAUCCAGCCAUGCCGCGUGUGUGAAGAAGGUCUUCGGAUUGCAAAGCACUUUAAGUUGGGAGGAAGGGCAGUAAGUUAAUACCUUGCUGUUUUGACGUUACCAACAGAAUAAGCACCGGCUAACUUCGUG
rnacentral:rRNA from 1 species